AUUGAACGCUGGCGGCAUGCCUUACACAUGCAAGUCGAACGGUAACAGGUCUUCGGAUGCUGACGAGCGGCGAACGGGUGAGUAAUACAUCGGAACGUGCCCGAUCGUGGGGGAUAACGGAGCGAAAGCUUUGCUAAUACCGCAUACGAUCUACGGAUGAAAGCAGGGGACCGCAAGGCCUUGCGCGGACGGAGCGGCCGAUGGCAGAUUAGGUAGUUGGUGGGAUAAAAGCUUACCAAGCCGACGAUCUGUAGCUGGUCUGAGAGGACGACCAGCCACACUGGGACUGAGACACGGCCCAGACUCCUACGGGAGGCAGCAGUGGGGAAUUUUGGACAAUGGGCGAAAGCCUGAUCCAGCCAUGCCGCGUGCAGGAUGAAGGCCUUCGGGUUGUAAACUGCUUUUGUACGGAACGAAAAGACUCUUUCUAAUAAAGAGGGUCCAUGACGGUACCGUAAGAAUAAGCACCGGCUAACUACGUG
rnacentral:rRNA from 1 species